rnacentral:lncRNA from 13 species
ACUAGUUCUAGUAUUGUUGUCAAUAGGAGACAGUAGAGUGGUCAUAGACACUAGUUAUAGUAUUGUUGUCAAUAGGAGACAGUAGAGUGGUCAUAGACACUAGUUAUAGUAUUGUUGUCAGUAGAGAGGAGAC